GCUGGGGUUGGUUGAAUGGUGGUCUAAACUGUUGGUUUUUGACCGCAUCGACCCGGGAUUGAAUCCCGCAUUGGGCA